rnacentral:rRNA from 1 species
GUGGGGAAUUUUGGACAAUGGGCGCAAGCCUGAUCCAGCCAUGCCGCGUGCGGGAAGAAGGCCUUCGGGUUGUAAACCGCUUUUGUCAGGGAAGAAAUCUUCUGGGUUAAUACCUCGGGAGGAUGACGGUACCUGAAGAAUAAGCACCGGCUAACUACGUGCCAGCAGCCGCGGUAAUACGUAGGGUGCAAGCGUUAAUCGGAAUUACUGGGCGUAAAGCGUGCGCAGGCGGUUGUGCAAGACAGGUGUGAAAUCCCCGGGCUUAACCUGGGAACUGCACUUGUGACUGCACAGCUGGAGUGCGGCAGAGGGGGAUGGAAUUCCGCGUGUAGCAGUGAAAUGCGUAGAUAUGCGGAGGAACACCGAUGGCGAAGGCAAUCCCCUGGGCCUGCACUGACGCUCAUGCACGAAAGCGUGGGGAGCAAACAGGAUUAGAAACCCUAGUAGUCC